ACCGAGCGAACAAACGAAACGGCAAAACCAUCAUCUACAUGUAUCAAGUGCGCGGUAAACCCCUCAUGGAAGAAUUUCCAAGAAAACCUCCCAAAGUCCAUGGUAUCUUCUAUAUGAGGUAAUGCACGCUGCCUCUAGAUCAACAAGUAAUAUCAGCUCACGAUUAUCUUGCGACUCUGAUCACAUCACAAUAACAAUGGGGAACCCACA